rnacentral:rRNA from 1 species
GGUUAAGCUACUAAGGGCGCACGGUGGAUGCCUUGGCAGAGACAGCCGAAGAAGGACGCGGCAGGCUGCGAAAUGCCCCGGGGAGCUGCGAGCAAGCAUUGAUCCGGGGGUGUCCGAAUCGGGAAACCGGGCGGGAGUAAUGUCCCGUCACCGCCGGGCGAAUCCAUAACCCGGCGGGGGGAACCGGGGGAACUGAAACAUCUCAGUACCCCGAGGAAGAGAAAGCAAAAGCGAUUCCCCCAGUAGUGGCGAACGAAAAGGGAACAGCCUAAACCUGCGCCGUGGAUAAGGCCUCAGCCGUUGCGGCGCGGGGGUCGCGGGGCCGGGCUGGACGGAGCUGAGGAUCCGUCGGGGAGUGAGAAACCGGAUCGAUAGCUGAAUUGGCCUGGAACGGCCAGCCAGAGAAGGUGAGAGCCCAGUAAGCGAAAUCGAUCCGGCUCCCUGGGUCCGGUACCCAAGUACCACGGGGCACGUGGAAUCCUGUGGGAAUCUCGGAGGACCAUCUCCUAAGGCUAAAUACUGUCUCUGACCGAUAGUGAACUAGUACCGUGAGGGAAAGGUGAAAAGAACCCCAUGCGGGGAGUGAAAUAGAACCUGAAACCGUGUGCCUACAAACGGUCGGAGCCCGAUGUUGUCGACUUCGGUCGGCGACCGGGUGACGGCGUGCUUUUUGCAUAAUGAGCCGGCGAGUUGUCCUCAGUGGCAAGGUUAAGGGCCUCUGGUCCGGAGCCGCAGGGAAACCGAGUCCGAAAAGGGCGUCAGAGUCGCUGGGGGCAAACCCGAAACCAGGUGAGCUACCCAUGGCCAGGGUGAAGCGAGGCUAAUCCCUCGUGGAGGCCCGAACCGGUGUCGGUUGAAAACGGCUCGGAUGAGCUGUGGGUCGGUGUGAAACGCUAAUCGGACCUGGAGAUAGCUGGUUCUCCCCGAAAUAGCUUUAGGGCUAGCCUCGGGUGAUGGCUCGCGGAGGUAGAGCACUGAAUGGGCUAGGGGCGCUCAUACCGCUACCAAACCCAAUCAAACUCCGAAUGCCGCGAGGUCCGAGCCCGGGAGUCGGACUGUGGGGGAUAAGCUUCACAGUCGAGAGGAAAAGAGCCCAGACCGUCGGCUAAGGUCCCCAAAUCGGGCUAAGUGGAGAAGGAAGUGGCUUCGCCCAAACAGCCAGGAGGUUGGCUUAGAAGGAGCCAUCCUUUAAACAACGGGUAACACCGGACUGGUCGAGCGAGGCUGCGCCGAAAAUUCAACGGGGCUCAAGCCCGAUACCGAAGCUGCGGAUCGCCAGCGCAGAGGCUUCACAGCAGUAGGGUGGCUACGGCAGGCCUUUGGGCCUGCGGCGGCUUAGAAGGCCGCUGUUGUGGGUUUUGCUGGCGGUGGUAGGGGAGCGUUCGGCACUGGAGUGAAGCGGUACCGUGAGGAGCCGUGGACCGUGUCGAAGUGCGAAUGCCGGCAUGAGUAGCGAAAAAGAGAGUGAGAAUCUCUCUCGCCGAAAACCUAAGGUUUCCCAGGCAAGGUUCGUCCUCCUGGGUUUAGCCGGGCCUAAGCCAAGGCCGAAAGGCGUAGGCGAUGGACAGCCGGUUGAUAUUCCGGCGCCACUGGAAGGCGAUAAAGACGCGAAGGGGGGACGCCGUUGGGUGUUCCAGCGCGCGACUGGAUUGGCGCGUUCUGGGCCGAGGCUGUCCGGCAGGCAAAUCCGCCGGACGUACGGCCAGAGCCCGGAGGAGGAAAGGCUUCGGCUGGACUGAACUGGAGUAACCAGCGGCCGCGAAAAGCCUCUAGCGAAUCUCACAGUGUCCGUACCGCAAACCGACACAGGUAGGCGGGCAGAGGAUGCCCAGGCGCGCGAGAGAACCCUCGUUAAGGAACUCGGCAAUCUCGCUCCGUAACUUCGGAAGAAGGAGCGCCUUCCGGCCCGAGCGGACGUCGUCUUCGGACGAUGCUCCGGCCGGGCGGCGGAAGGCCGCAGCGAAAGGGCCCAAGCGACUGUUUACCAAAAACACAGGUCUCUGCAAAGCCGUAAGGCAAAGUAUAGGGGCUGACGCCUGCCCAGUGCCAGAAGGUUAAGGGGCGGGGUUAGCUCGCCGCAAGGCGAGCGAAGCUCCAAUCCGAAGCCCUGGUGAACGGCGGCGGUAACUCUAACCGUCCAAAGGUAGCGAAAUUCCUUGUCGGGUAAGUUCCGACCUGCACGAAAGGCGUAACGACUUGGGCGCUGUCUCGACGAGGGACUCGGCGAAAUUGUAGCGCCAGCGAAGAUGCUGGCUACCCGCGACAGGACGGAAAGACCCCGUGGAGCUUUACUACAGCCUGGUAUUGGAUUCUGGGGUUUCGUGCAGAGGAUAGGUGGGAGCCGGUGAAGCCGGGGCUCUGGCCCCGGUGGAGGCGACCUUGGAAUACCACCCUCGAUACUCUGGCGUUCUAACCGUAGCCCUGAUCGGGUGGCGGGACAGUAUCAGGUGGGUAGUUUGACUGGGGCGGUCACCUCCUAAAAGGUAACGGAGGUGUUCAAAGGUUCCCUCAGUGCGGUUGGAAAUCGCACGCGGAGUGCAAGGGCACAAGGGAGCUUGACUGUGAGAGCGACAGCUCGAGCAGAGACGAAAGUCGGACCUAGUGACCCGGCAGUCGGGGAUGGAACCGCUGUCGACAUCGGAUAAAAUGCUACCCCGGGGAUAACAGGCUCAUCUCCCCCGCGCGCUCACAGCUACGGGGAGGUUUGGCACCUCGAUGUCGGCUCGUCGCAUCCUGGGGCUGGAUAAGGUCCCAAGGGUUGGGCUGUUCGUCCAUUAAAGCGGCACGCGAGCUGGGUUCAGAACGGCGUAAGCCAGUUCGGUCCCUAUCCGUCGCGGGCGUAAGAGGUCUGAGGGGAGCUGCCGCCAGUAUGAGAAGACCGCGGUGGACAGACCAAGGGUGUACCAGUUGUCCCGCCAGGGGCAAACGCUGGGUAGCCAUGUCUGGUUGGGAUAAGCGCUGAAAGCAUCUAAGCGCGAAGCCCACCCCAAGACGAGACCUCUCACCGGGUCAACCGGGUAAGGCCGCAGGAAGACUACCUGCUUGAUAGGCCGGAGGUGUACGCACGGUAACGUGCUAAGCUGACCGGUACUAAUCGGCCGAGGGCUUGGCCCCCUC